rnacentral:rRNA from 1 species
UACGUAGGGUGCAAGCGUUGUCCGGAAUUAUUGGGCGUAAAGAGCUCGUAGGCGGUCUGUCACGUCGGCUGUGAAAACCCGAGGCUCAACCUCGGGCCUGCAGUCGAUACGGGCAAACUAGAGUACUGCAGGGGAGACUGGAAUUCCUGGUGUAGCGGUGAAAUGCGCAGAUAUCAGGAGGAACACCGGUGGCGAAGGCGGUUCUCUGGGCAUUACCUGACGCUGAGGAGCGAAAGUGUGGGGAGCGAACAGG